CUAAGAAUAUUCCGCAAUGGACGGAAGUCUGACGGAGCGACGCCGCGUGGAUGACGAAGGCCGAAAGGUUGUAAAGUUCUUUUGCUGGGGAAGAAUAACCGCAGGAGGGAAUGCCUGUGGGAUGACAAGAACCGGCGAAUAAGCCCCGGCCAACUACGUGCCAGCAGCCGCGGUAACACGUAGGGGGCGAGCGUUGUUCGGAAUUACUGGGCGUAAAGGGCAUGUAGGCGGCUUGGAAAGCCUGGCGUGAAAGUCUGCAGCUUAACUGCAGGGGUGCGCUGGGAACUGCUGAGCUUGAGUGACGGAGAGGGAGCUGGAAUUCCUGGUGUAGGGGUGAAAUCUGUAGAUAUCAGGAAGAACACCGAUGGCGAAGGCAAGCUCCUGGCCGAUGACUGACGCUGAGGUGCGAAAGUGUGGGGAUCAAAACAGGAUUAGAUACCCUGGUAGUCCACACAGUCAACGAUGUGCACCAGGUGCUGGGGCGGUAGCUUCGGUGCCGGAGCGAACGUGGUAAGUGCACCGCCUGGGGAGUAUGCUCGCAAGGGUG
rnacentral:rRNA from 1 species